UAAUACAAGGUAGAGCAUUGGACUUUUAAUCCAAGGGUCCAGGGUUCAAGUCCCUG
rnacentral:tRNA from 1 species